AGUGAACGCUGGCGGUAGGCCUAACACAUGCAAGUCGAACGGCAGCACAGGAGAGCUUGCUCUCUGGGUGGCGAGUGGCGGACGGGUGAGGAAUACAUCGGAAUCUACUUUUUCGUGGGGGAUAACGUAGGGAAACUUACGCUAAUACCGCAUACGACCUACGGGUGAAAGCAGGGGACCUUCGGGCCUUGCGCGAUUGAAUGAGCCGAUGUCGGAUUAGCUAGUUGGCGGGGUAAAGGCCCACCAAGGCGACGAUCCGUAGCUGGUCUGAGAGUAUGGUCAGCCACACUGGAACUGAGACACGGGCCAGAAUCCUACGGGAAGCAGCAGUGGGGAAUAUUGGACAAUGGGCGCAAGCCUGAUCCAGCCAUACCGCGUGGGUGAAGAAGGCCUUCGGGUUGUAAAGCCCUUUUGUUGGGAAAGAAAUCCAGCUGGCUAAUACCCGGUUGGGAUGACGGUACCCAAAGAAUAAGCACCGGCUAACUUCGUGCCAGCCGCCGCAGUAA
rnacentral:rRNA from 1 species